CUGAUAUCAACAAGCCGAGAGGUUGAAAGGGCUUGCAUCAUCUAGCAAUGAUCAAACGAACAACGCUAAGAGCAUCACAUAGACAACAAUGUCAAUGACUACCAAAAAGUACCAACUUGCUUCAAGUAUGUGUUAGUUUAAGCUGCGCAAGAGGCAGUCAUGCCAUGUUGAGGCUCAAGCAUCGAGAGAACCAAGGAGGCUGCUUUAUCCCAUCCUCCCUCAUUCGUUCCUCGAUCCCAUGUUGGAAUCUCAUAUCCCGGACCGGACACUGCCCAGAUCCGUUGCUGCUUCGUUUGGUACCACCAGACUGCGUCGAGGAUGAAGAAAAGCUUGAUCCAGAAUCUGAAGUCGAUGAUGUCUCUUUCCUUUUUCCUCGGGCGCUGCUUCCAGUUGCAAGCGUCAGCUCCAAGUCGCUCUCUCGCUUCAGAUCAGGUGUCCGGUUAUGUGCAUCCGUCUUGUUGGUGUUGUUCAUCUCCCUCAUCAGCAGCUGCUGAACAUGGUACAAAUGGUGGAGUUCAUGCACCUGGACCGGGCAGCGGAAAAAAACUCAGAAUCUCCAGUAACUUCAUCCUGAUUCGACGGAGUUGUAAGCAGAAGAAGAAGAAGAAGAAGGUACCUGUUGUCUGAAGGUGGCUUCCUGCUUCAUGAUGGCCAUCUUCAAGUACUCUUUGUCAUACUGAUUCAUGUAUCUCCCCAUUGGCCCUCUGCGGUGUGUUGUUGUGGGAUGAAUGAUCUGUUGAAGUUAAACUCACUGUCAAUUAUGAUGAAGGCUUAAUAAACAAGGAAACUGCUUUGAUCUUAUA